AUAUGACUUUGAAACACUGGUUCCUGUAUGAUCACCAAAGUUAAGCAAUGUUGAGCCUGAUCAGUACCUAGAUGGGUGACCAUUUGGGAAU